rnacentral:rRNA from 1 species
UACGGGGGGGGCAAGCGUUGUUCGGAAUUACUGGGCGUAAAGGGCGUGUAGGCGGCCAACUAAGUCCGACGUGAAAUCCCCAGGCUUAACCUGGGAACUGCGUCGGAUACUGGAUGGCUUGAAUCCGGGAGAGGGAUGCAGAAUUCCAGGUGUAGCGGUGAAAUGCGCAGAUAUCAGGAAGAACACCCGUGGCUAAGGCGGCUCUCUAGUACGGUACUGACGCUGAGACGCGAAAGCGUGGGGAGCGAACAGG